UUUUUUUUUUUUUUUUUUUUUGGAUCUUCCUGUCAUUAUAUGCAAAGUCUUGUAUCUUAUUUAACAAUUUAACAUUUUCUUUCCCCUCUAUUUAUUGUGCAAUUUUUUACAUCAUACUUUCAUUUUCUUUUGGUUGACAUUAAUGCUAAGGAGACAGCUCUUCACAGGAGCCUUAAUCACUGUUGUCUCCUUCAGUCCAGUUGAAAGGACAACAUGGACGCAAACCAAAGAUCUAGGAUCAAUGCCAGGUUCUUAGACCUUGUGUAAGGGUCACCUUCACCUACACAAAUGCAAGGUAAAGUGAGUUGACACCCAUUAUGCUUGCCCACAGAGGAACAUCUGAUUUACCAGAUGUUGAAGAAAAAUCCAGAACAGUGUUACUGAGUUGGAAAGCAGCUGUAUUUUUCUCUGCUCACAUAUUCAUUGGUACAGCUGCUUCAGAUAUCCAGCCAUCUAAAUUAUUCUGACACUAGAAAAAAAAAAAUUGAAACAGGGUCUUAUUAUGGCCAUAUUGCUUAUGAUGUUUUAAUGCUAUGGCUGACUGAUCACUGUGAAUGCCAUUCAUUUGCCAGACACAUUGCAUUUAAGGGGCAGGUAGAUUCUGUGUUGAGUGCUAAGAGCUAAGACAUUAGGUGCAUUAGAAUAAUCCUUUCUCAUAUCUCCCUCUUUGAAGUCUCUGUCUUAGGAGCAGAAUCAGUUUCCAUGGCAGCUUCACAGACUUUUCUGUUGUGUUCUGAAAAUUUUGGUCUCGUCUGGAUGGACAUCAAAUGAAUAUAGAACUAAAACAGAAUAAGGAAGAGUUUCUAUAUUACAUCCAAUGUUAAAAAUAAUCUUUUAAAAAAGCUUACUAAUUUGCCUCUUGACAAUUUCCACAUGUUUUUUGCUGUUCUUUCCUGUUACAAGUCUAAGCUUGGUUAAAUACUGCUGGACAUGUAAAUAAUGACUAGAUACUAGUUUAGAACCAGUCCACUGAUCCCAAUCAGCACAAAGUAGAAACAGCUGUCCUAGAAAAGUGUCUGAGGACAUUUCUGGACAAAGAAGAACUUGAUGUAACCUGGAAGAAGUACUCUUGCUAGGUGCAUUGCCAAGCUACUCUUGGCCCUGGAUCGAGAAAGAAGAAGAACAGGUAAGAGCUGCUUCCCUAUAUUUCCAAGUCAUUGCUAGAUCUAAAGUCAGUGUGGCUAUGAGUGGGCUUGACUCUUGUUAAAAGGAUUUGGAUUGCAGAUAAAACCAAUACAGUCACUAUGGAUUUUGGCUGAAGAUUAAAACCAUUUAAAGUUUGUUUGAAAGUACAUUUGUACAACUGAUGUUUAGGGAAUUUUUAAACAAUAUGAAAUGCAUUUCAUGUUUAUUUUUAGAAAAAAAAAUGAAAUGCAGUUUUGUUUGUAUACUCUCAUGUGUUUUUGUUUUGUUUUAUUUAUUUUUUAUUUUCCUCUACUGAAAGUCCUUCCACUGUUGUUGCAGCAUACAUUGUGAAGACUGGAAUUUGUGCUUGUAAAUACCUGAAGCAUUAUGACCAAUUUUAGAAACCUUAGGGCUUUCUGAUAUCUCAUGAUUAUGCA
ensembl:lncRNA